rnacentral:rRNA from 1 species
UACAGAGGGUGCAAGCGUUGCUCGGAUUUACUGGGCGUAAAGCGUACGCAGACGGAUUGGCAAGUCGGGAGUGAAAGCCCUGGGCUCAACCCAGGAACUGCUUCCGAUACUAUCAGUCUUGAGUUUGGGAGAGGGAAGCGGAAUUCCUGGUGUAGAGGUGAAAUUCGUAGAUAUCAGGAGGAACACCGGCGGCGAAGGCGGCUUCCUGGCCCAAUACUGACGUUCAGGUACGAAAGCGUGGGUAGCAAACAGG